UUCUAGUGAAAAAAUUUAGUUAAGUUAUAACAUUAGUUUGUCAUUCUAAAAUCAUUA
rnacentral:tRNA from 4 species